rnacentral:tRNA from 1 species
AACGACGUAAUUUAAUUUAAAAUAAGUGUUUUGCGUACACUAAAUGGGUUUUAACCUCGUUGUUA